UACGGGGGGGGCAAGCGUUGUUCGGAAUUACUGGGCGUAAAGGGCCAGUAGGCGGCCAACUAAGUCGGAUGUGAAAUCCCCAGGCUCAACUUGGGAACUGCAUCCGAUACUGGAUGGCUUGAAUUCGGGAGAGGGAUGCAGAAUUCCAGGUGUAGCGGUGAAAUGCGUAGAUAUCUGGAGGAAUACCGGUGGCGAAGGCGGCAGCCUGGACCGACAUUGACGCUGAAGGGCGAAAGCGAGGGGAGCAAACGGG
rnacentral:rRNA from 1 species